rnacentral:rRNA from 1 species
AUACGUAGGGGGCGAGCGUUGUCCGGAAUGAUUGGGCGUAAAGGGCGCGUAGGCGGCCCGGUAAGUCUGGAGUGAAAGUCCUGUUUUUAAGAUGGGAAUUGCUUUGGAUACUGUCGGGCUUGAGUGCAGGAGAGGUAAGUGGAAUUCCCAGUGUAGCGGUGAAAUGCGUAGAGAUUGGGAGGAACACCAGUGGCGAAGGCGACUUACCGGACUGUAACUGACGGUGAAGCGGCAAAGUGUGGGGAGCAAACAAGAUUAGAUACCCUGGUAGUCCACACUGUAAACGAUGAAUGCUAGGUGUAGGGGGUAUCGACCCCUUCUGUGCCGCAGUCAACACAAUAAGCAUUCCGCCUGGGGAGUACGGCCGCAAGGUUGAAACUCAAAGGAAUUGACGGGG